CCUCACUUAUUUUAAAUAACCAGAAAUACUGGGCUGCUCUGAGAAUCCCAACCUCCGCGAGUAGUCCUUGUGCUUUCAACUGACCUUGGAAAAGAAUGCUUUAAUUAUACACAUGCUUCACUUAAAUCAGUAAUGAAUUGCAGUUCUGCAGGGCGGCUUGCUGGGACUGUCCCCAUAAAUAACGCUGUCGAGGCAUGCCUGGGUGGUGGUGAUAUGCUGAUUCAAGUUGCACGGGAGAAACCAACAGAAACAUCUCUGCAUCGUGACGAGACCCACAAUGACACGCGGUCUGGAUGAGGAAGCAUUCAAACGCGUUUCCUUUCUCAGCACGUGGGAUACAGGCUUGAGAAGAAGUGAGAACUGAGGUGCUGCCUAGAUUUCUGUCCUUCGAGGAGAUGGCAUGAAUUACUGGUAGGUAGAAGUGGUGUGGGGCCAGAGGUGGUGGUGUGGGGGGCAGCGAUGGGGGCUGCACUGUGGUGGGCAGCAGCUCACUGCUCUGGCAGGAAAUCUUGGUUCCAUGCUUGGCAAAGUUCAUCUGCUGGAAAGGCACCUGCACGUGGCUCAGGGAGCAGGCUGCUGCUACAGCACUGACUGGGGAGUAUUAAUUGUACACUGCUUGAUUUAGAACUUUUUGUAGGUGAGAAUAAGGUCCUAGCUCUACUAAUGUCUCUAUACCACCAUGUUGAAAGGAUGUAUUAGAAUCACCAAGGCUGGAAAAGACCUGCAAGGUCAUCCAGUCCAACUGCCCACCUACCACCCAUAUUCCCCACUAAACCACAUCCCAUAGUACCACAUCUAAAUGUUUCCUGAGCACCUCCAGGGACGGGGACUCCACCACUCCCUGGGCAGCCCAUUCCAGCACCUGACUGCUCCAUCAGAGAAUAUCACCAGGAUGAGGCAUGGAAAUACCAAUUAAAUUGGUACCUUGUAUAUAUUCAGGGUUUUUAUUGAUACAGGAGUCAGUAUUCUAGGUUGUUAUAGCCACGUGGAUCAGGCCAGAUUUUCCCAAAAACAAUUAAGGGCGAGGGAAAAAAUGGCUCAAGAAGUUGCUGUAAUAUUUUUUAGAAAGUUCUGAGAAUAUUUCCCUUUCCAAAUGCGGCGACGUUAUCUCCAUUAGUGACGUUACACCUGGAAGAGAGAUGCCAUGGGGUUUAAAGUUGAUCCUAGAACUAUUCCUCGGUGGAAACGGGACUGCUCCUGGGCUGCUCCACUCCUGCCUGGAAACACGUUAAACUCACCCUAAUUCCUACAUGAGCCUCUGACAGUUCUCAUCUGCUUGACACCAGCUACCAGUGCUGGUGAUUAUUCAUUCGGGCUGGCUGUUAGUGAUAGUAAUAAAAUGUUGACAAUGCCUUAGGGUAAAGCUUUC
rnacentral:lncRNA from 1 species